rnacentral:rRNA from 1 species
AAUUAUAUCCUACGCGUUAAGGGUGAUUAGAAAUAUCUUACCCAAAAUAAAGUUAAGACCUCAUUAAGCUGUCAUACGCUCUCAUGCUUAAAAACACCAUUCACGAAAGUAACUUUAUAUAAACAGAAUUUUUGACCUCACGACAGUUAAGGCCCAAACUAGGAUUAGAA